GUAGAAUUUCUUUUAUUCUAAUGCCGAAGGAGUUCGGUUUGGAUAGCAUAUUGACGGAUUAGUUUCAGCGUUUUCUUAAUAAGAUUAUUUAAAGUACUCACGAAAAAAGUAAAAUAAAUAAUUUAAAGAAAAGAAGUAAUAACUUAAUCAAUAACAAAGUAAAUAGAUAUAGCUUGAGAACGGAUGGAUUUGAUGUUUUGUUUUUUUAAUUGUAACAGUAUAAAUUUUUAGUUAUUCAAUUUAACAAAAAACUAAUGUGACUCCAGGCGUUAUUGACAACUUGGUGUUUUUAUGAAAACAAGGAAUCGGUUUAACAUUUUUAGCUUUUGUUUUUGAUUAAAGAUUAAUUAAUAACCAAGAAACAGAAUUUAUAAAUAAAUGCUACGGACAGGAACUUCAAGAAGAUGCUAACAUAACAGUCACCACAGCACCAACAGUAAACUCAGGUAGCUGCCCUCCGAGACAGAAUGACAAAACAACUAUACAGAAUCACCGCAGGAAUUCUAGCCGCUGAAUGUCAAAUAGAAACCCAGGAAACUAAAUUAGCUAACUUGAAUCUAAACAACGCGAAAUACGAUCAAAAAACAUCGUUAACUAAGUUACCUAAAUUCGACUUAAGUCAACUUGAACAAUCAAAACAUGGUCCAACUGAAAUCAAUAAAGUUUUCGAUCUCAUCAGAGCUGACAAAGUACCUACUUACUUCCGAUUUACUUCUCGUAAUUCUGCUGGUAGUCCUAACAAAUAGGAUAGCCAUCACAUUUCCAAACAAAAGUGUCCGCAACCAAAUAAUGAAACUGUUUAAUCUGUUCUUCCGAGCUCCAGCAAACCGAGCUAACUACACUAAACUCUUUAUUAAUCGCGACUUGACGACAUUCAAAAAGAGCUUAGCUUGGCAACUAUGCAUCGAAUGCACAAAACAAAACGCAUCUCUACCUACCGUGUCAACAACAGUGUUUGUAAUACAAAGUCACUCUUUCAAACAUCUCUAACCAACCACAUCAAAAACUAAUCAAAAAUUCAAUUCCCAACCAUCCCUUUUACCAAACAUAGUCCUGUACUUAACACAAUAGCUGAAAAGUUACCAACGAACUCAACAUCAAAUAGCCACUUAAGUAAAAUUUGUCCGACUCGCCAAAACUAAAACAACCAAUACAACGAACAGAAAAGUCGGAACAACUUAUCUACUGGGCAAAUAAUCUUUGCUUACUUAAUGGCCAAAAAAUUGACGAUCUAAGAGCUAAAAUUACUUUAACAGAAAUUAACUUCAACCACACACAAUAUUGAUCAUCAAAACUUGGUUCAUCGACUCAUCCGACACAAAAACAUAGAGGAGAAAGAGUAUCCAUCUACUCAAAAGAAAACCUCAAGCAUUCUUACACCAAUAUUGAUCAAUAGAAAUACAUUCGAGCAAGUUUGAUUCAUAUUAAAUUUUUAUGAAAAACCGUUUCUUUUGGACUGUAUUUAUUGUAUGACUGAGAGCCGGCUAACUAACUGCCUACAACAUGUAACUCAUUGGUAUUAACAUAUCUGAAUGGAUAACAAUAUCCAGCGGUGUAACUCAAGGAUCUGUUUUCGGACCACUCCUAUUUCUCAUCUGCAUAAAUGAUCUACCAGACAAAUUACUACACCAUUUCAAAAUGUGUGCAGACGACUGUAAAAUAAUUUGGGUUCAAGUCAAACCAAGACAGCAUAAAACUCCAAGACGACAUCAACAAAGCAGUGAAGUGGUUACACUCAUGCCACAUGCCUUUUAAUGUAUAUAAGUAUAAAGUCAUGCUGGUCGCAACAACAAUAAAAAAUCUACUGCAAUCUACACAAUGAAAAAUACUGUCGGACAACCGCACCAGCUAUCGUGCACAAAGUCUGAAAGUGAUCUAGGCGUUUUAAAAACUAAUGAUGCAUCAGAUGGCUUGGCAUGCUUAAGAGUGUCUUUCAAGGCUGUAGUCUUAUUCUAUGGCGCACAUUAUACAUUUCAUAGUUCGCCCACACUUGGAAUUCACUGUAUUUCAAAAAAUGUCAAAAAUUGCGUGACGUGAUUUAUGGACGACCGCUUAUUGUAAUAUAUGCCAUUUUUAAUGUUCUUUUUUUUACAGUUUUUUUAAAAAGUCUGUCGGAAAAGAAGUAAAUGGUUCAAAGUCUA
rnacentral:lncRNA from 1 species